rnacentral:rRNA from 1 species
CCUACGGGUGGCAGCAGUCGAGAAUCAUUCACAAUGGGGGAAACCCUGAUGGUGCGACGCCGCGUGGGGGAAUGAAGGUCUUCGGAUUGUAAACCCCUGUCAUGUGGGAGCAAAUUAAAAAGAUAGUACCACAAGAGGAAGAGACGGCUAACUCUGUGCCAGCAGCCGCGGUAAUACAGAGGUCCCAAGCGGUGUUCGGAAUCACUGGGCGUAAAGCGUGCGUAGGCUGUUUCGUAAGUCGUGUGUGAAAGGCGCGGGCUCAACCCGCGGACGGCACAUGAUACUGCGAGACUAGAGUAAGGGAGGGGGAACCGGAAUUCUCGGUGUAGCAGUGAAAUGCGUAGAUAUCGAGAGGAACACUCGUGGCGAAGGCGGGUUCCUGGACAUUAACUGACGCUGAGGCACGAAGGCCAGGGGAGCGAAAGGGAUUAGAUACCCCUGUAGUC